rnacentral:lncRNA from 1 species
GCUCAAGAGGAGGCCCCAAGACCUGAUACCAUUACUGAAGCUAUGGGCCGUUCACAAAAAAGGACCUAUCAUGACUGCUCUCCAAAAGACCCAACAAGCAGCUGAAAGAGUCAGAUUCAGAUAUGUGCACCGAACCAAUGAACAGAAGUUGCUGACCCCUCUGGUUGAAUUAGGGGAAAGCUGGAGGAGGAAGCUAAGGAAGAGGGCAACUCUGUAGGAGGACCAGCAGUCUCAAUUAACCUGGAUCCCUGAGAUCUCUCCAACACUGGAUUACCAAGCAGACAGCAUGAGGCCCCCAAUCCAUGUACAGUAGAGGAUUCCCAGGUCUGGGUUCAGUCAGAGAAGAUGCACCUAUCACUCAAGAGACUGAAGGCAAAAGGAAGUUUAAAGGUCUGGUGGGUAGGUAGGGUGGGGACAUCCUUGUGGACACAAGGGAGGGGAAGGGGUGCGGUGGGCAGGAUGGAGGUAUGGGAUGUGGAACCCUAGGGGUGGGGGUAGACCCGGAGGGGAAUAAAAUCUUGAGUUGUAAAAAGAAAGAAAGAAAAAAA